GAUGAACGCUGGCGGCUUGCCUAAUACAUGCAAGUCGAGCGAAGCGAGGACGGGUUAGUAACACGUGUAUAACCUCCUUUAAGACUGGGAUAACUUCGGGAACCCGGAGCUCAACCGGAUCCUUAUAGAUGGAUCCUCGCUGCAUUAGCUAGUUGGUAAGGUAACGGCUUACCAAGGCAACGCUGCAUAGCCGACCGGAGAGGGUGAUCAGCCACACUGGAACUGAGACACGGUCCAGACUCCUACGGGAGGCAGCAGUAGGGAAUCUUGCGCAAUGGGCGAAAGCCUGACGCAGCAACGCCGCGUGAGUGAUGAAGGUCGUCGGAUCGUAAAACUCUUUAAGUAGGGAAGCGGUACCCAAACAGAAAGCCCCGGCUAACUACGUGCCAGCAGCCGCGGUAAUAC
rnacentral:rRNA from 1 species